rnacentral:rRNA from 1 species
GACGAACGCUGGCGGCGUGCUUAACACAUGCAAGUCGAGCGAGUUGAUUCCCUUCGGGGAUGAAGCUAGCGGCGGACGGGUGAGUAACACGUGGGCAACCUGCCGUAUAGAGGGGGAUAGCCUUCCGAAAGGAAGAUUAAUACCGCAUAACAUCAGAUUAUCGCAUGGUAGACUGAUCAAAGGAGUAAUCCGCUAUAAGAUGGGCCCGCGUCGCAUUAGCUAGUUGGUGAGGUAACGGCUCACCAAGGCGACGAUGCGUAGCCGACCUGAGAGGGUGAUCGGCCACAUUGGGACUGAGACACGGCCCAGACUCCUACGGGAGGCAGCAGUGGGGAAUAUUGCACAAUGGGGGAAACCCUGAUGCAGCAACGCCGCGUGAGUGAUGAAGGCCUUCGGGUUGUAAAGCUCUUUGAUCAGGGACGAUAAUGACGGUACCUGAAGAACAAGCCACGGCUAACUACGUGCCAGCAGCCGCCGUAACAC